UACGUAGGGUGCAAGCGUUAAUCGGAAUUACUGGGCGUAAAGCGUGCGCAGGCGGUUAUGUAAGACAGUUGUGAAAUCCCCCGGGCUCAACCUGGGAACUGCAUCUGUGACUGCAUAGCUAGAGUACGGUAGAGGGGGAUGGAAUUCCGCGUGUAGCAGUGAAAUGCGUAGAUAUGCGGAGGAACACCGAUGGCGAAGGCAUCCCCUGGACCUGUACUGACG
rnacentral:rRNA from 1 species